GUUGUAUGGUUAAGUGAUUAAGCGUAGACGGUGGAUGCCUUGGCAGUCAGAGGCGAUGAAGGACGUACUAACCUGCGAAAAGCGAUGGUGAGCUGGUAAGAAGCAUUUGAGCCAUCGAUGUCCGAAUGGGGAAACCCACCUGCAUAAGCAGGUAUCUUAGCGUGAAUAUAUAGCGCUAAGAGGCGAACUCGGGGAACUGAAACAUCUAAGUACCCGAAGGAAAAGAAAUCAAUUGAGAUUCCGGCAGUAGCGGCGAGCGAACCCGGAGCAGCCCUUAAGCGGCUUAGGCGUUAGGUGAACAGGUUGGAAAACCUGGCAAUAAAGGGUGAUAGCCCCGUAACCGACGGCGCCUUAGUCGUGAAAACGAGUAGGACGGGACACGUGAUAUCUUGUCUGAACAUGGGGGGACCAUCCUCCAAGGCUAAAUACUCCUGACUGACCGAUAGUGAACCAGUACCGUGAGGGAAAGGCGAAAAGAACCCCUGUGAGGGGAGUGAAAUAGAACCUGAAACCGUCUACGUACAAGCAGUGGGAGCCUCCUUUGUGGGGUGACCGCGUACCUUUUGUAUAAUGGGUCAGCGACUUAAUGUUAGUAGCAAGGUUAACCGCAUAGGGGAGCCGUAGGGAAACCGAGUCUUAACUGGGCGAGUAGUUGCUAGCAUUAGACCCGA
rnacentral:rRNA from 1 species